UACAGAGGGGGCAAGCGUUGUUCGGAAUUACUGGGCGUAAAGCGUGCGCAGGCGGUUUUGUAAGUCUGUCGUGAAAUCCCCGGGCUCAACCUGGGAAUGGCGAUGGAGACUGCAAGGCUAGAAUCUGGCAGAGGGGGGGUAGAAUUCCACGUGUAGCAGUGAAAUGCGUAGAGAUGUGGAGGAAUACCGGUGGCGAAGGCGGCAUCCUGGACCAUAACUGACGCGUG
rnacentral:rRNA from 1 species